CUCCUACUUUACCCUGAGCUCAAUCAUGAUUGUAGCUACUAGGACACAAAGUGGAAAGCAACCAGUCCAGUUGGAUUGUUACUUAGUAACCUAUAGCCCCGCCCCUUUUCUGGGCCUUGCACACAUGGCCACCACACUCAGAGUUGCAUUACUCUCUAAUGCAGGGCAAGCUGUCUCAUGGCUAGGUGAGUACACAAUUAAGGUAAAU